GCCUUGGACACGUAAGGGGAACUGCCUGAGGGUUCUUCUAGGUGACAGCAGGAAGCCGAGAAGCGGGGAACAGCAGUGUGAGUGGGUGACACACGGAGGAUGUUUUCAGGAGAAAAGCCGCGUGCUGGGCUGGCGAAGUGUGGGGUCCCGUGAUUUGUAGACGAUUUGGUCCACCUGAACUCAUCUCUACCUCAGUUUCCCUAGGACAGAGCCACCUGUCCCUGCGGCAGUGCACCGCGCGCUGGUCCUCCUCCUGCUCUCUGCGCCCUGCGGGAACCUGCACCGGAGCUAUGGGAAGCGGGACCUCCACCCAGCCUCACUUCACAUUUCAGAACGCAGAGAAAGCUUUCAAGGCAGCGGCCCUGAUCCAGAGGUGGUACUGGCGCUAUGUGGCCCGGCUGGAGAUGCGGCGGCGCUGCACCUGGAGCAUCUUCCAGUCCAUAGAGUACGCCGGGCAGCAGGACCAGGGCCAGGUGUGGCCUGGCGGCGCCUCCACCUGCCUCCCAGCCUCGGGCAGUGACUGGGACCCCCUGCACCUUUCCACUUGGUUUCUAAAGCCGGGUCCCCUGCUUCCUCUGCAGCUGCACGAGUUCUUCAGCUACCUCGUGAGUCACUUCACUCCCAGCAGCCGCCAUGAGAGGGACCUCCUGAGCCGCAUGCUGACUGAGCAGAGCUGUCCGCAGGAUGCGGAGCUGGAGACCUGCGGUGACUACAAAGCCAUCGAGGUGCCCGCCAACUACACAGGGCCGCGCCUGUCCUUCCCGCUGCUUCCCAGCCAUGCCACUGCCCUGGUGGAAGCUUUCAGGCUGAAACAAGUGAGCUCAGGGGCCCAGCCCCAUGUGAGCGGCCCACACAGAAAGCUCCUGCUCGGGCGUCUGGGUUAA
rnacentral:lncRNA from 1 species